rnacentral:pre_miRNA from 1 species
CUGACAGAAGAGAGUGAGCACGCAGCGGGCUGACUGCCUCUGAAUACGCUGCAUCCACUGACGAGAGAGAGAGAGAGAUUGAUAGACGCAGCUGCCGUUGCGUGCUCACUUCUCUCUCUGUCAG